rnacentral:rRNA from 1 species
GUGGGGAAUAUUGGACAAUGGGCGCAAGCCUGAUCCAGCCAUGCCGCGUGUGUGAAGAAGGCCUUUUGGUUGUAAAGCACUUUAAGCGAGGAGGAGGCUCCUUUAGUUAAUACCUAAAGAGAGUGGACGUUACUCGCAGAAUAAGCACCGGCUAACUCUGUGCCAGCAGCCGCGGUAAUACAGAGGGUGCGAGCGUUAAUCGGAUUUACUGGGCGUAAAGCGUGCGUAGGCGGCUUUUUAAGUCGGAUGUGAAAUCCCUGAGCUUAACUUAGGAAUUGCAUUCGAUACUGGAAAGCUAGAGUAUGGGAGAGGAUGGUAGAAUUCCAGGUGUAGCGGUGAAAUGCGUAGAGAUCUGGAGGAAUACCGAUGGCGAAGGCAGCCAUCUGGCCUAAUACUGACGCUGAGGUACGAAAGCAUGGGGAGCAAACAGGAUUAGAUACCCCAGUAGUCC